AACGCGAAGAACCUUACCUGGGUUUGAAAUUCACCGGAAGACUGCAGAGAUGUAGUUGUCCCGCAAGGGACUGGUGAACAGGUGCUGCAUGGCUGUCGUCAGCUCGUGCCGUGAGGUGUUGGGUUAAGUCCCGCAACGAGCGCAACCCUUAUUCUUAGUUGCCAUCGGGUGAAGCCGGGCACUCUGGGGAGACUGCCAGCAUAAGCUGGAGGAAGGUGGGGAUGACGUCAAGUCAGCAUGGCCCUUACGUCCAGGGCUACACACGUGCUACAAUGGUCGGUACAAAGGGCUGCCAACCCGCGAGGGGGAGCGAAUCUCAUAAAGCCGAUCUCAGUUCGGAUUGCAGGCUGCAACUCGCCUGCAUGAAGUCGGAAUCACUAGUAACCGCAGAUCAGCUACGCUGCGUGAAUACGUUCCCGGGCUUGUACACACCGCUCGCGA
rnacentral:rRNA from 1 species